UGUUCUUUGGUUUACGAUAAAGAAUAAGGUCUGCCCAAUGAUUAUUUUAAUGGCCGCAGUAUCUUGACUGUGCAAAGGUAGCAUAAUCAAUUGUCUUUUAAUUGGAGUCUGGUAUGAAUGAUUUGAUGGGGAUGUACUGUCUUAUUUUAGAUAGUUGAAUUUUUAAGGUAGGUGAAGAUACUUAUAUAAUAAUAAAAGACGAGAAGACCCUAUUAAGUUUUACGUGUAUAUUUUUAUUUAAUGAAAUUAUAUUAUCUUUAUUACGUUUAGUUGGGGCAAUUGUAGAAUAAGAAAAACUUCUUGUGAUGAAAAUAUUUAUUUUUAUAUUGAAAAUAUGAUCCAAGGAUUUGAUUAUUAGAAAAAAUUACUUUAGGGAUAACAGCGUAAUGUUUUCUUAGAGUUCUUAUCGAUGAAAAAGUUUGCGACCUCGAUGUUGGAUUAAGAUACCUUUUUAGUGCAGCAGUUAAUUAAGGUAGUCUGUUCGACUAU
rnacentral:rRNA from 1 species